rnacentral:rRNA from 1 species
GACGAACGCUGGCGGCGUGCUUAAUACAUGCAAGUCGAGCGAGGUUACUGUUUUGGAUCCCUUCGGGGUGAAGAAGCUUUAACCUAGCGGCGGACGGGUGAGUAACGCGUGGGUAACCUACCCCAAAGUCCGGGAUAACAGCGGGAAACCGCUGCUAAUACCGGAUGUCUUUACCUUGGGGCAUCUUGAGGUAAAGAAAGGUAACGCUUUGGGAUGGGCCCGCGUCCCAUUAGCUAGUUGGUGAGGUAACGGCUCACCAAGGCGACGAUGGGUAGCCGGCCUGAGAGGGUGGACGGCCACACUGGGACUGAGACACGGCCCAGACUCCUACGGGAGGCAGCAGUAGGGAAUAUUGCGCAAUGGACGGAAGUCUGACGCAGCGACGCCGCGUGAGCGAUGAAGGUCUUCGGAUCGUAAAGCUCUGUCCUUGGGGAAGAAGGCGAAAGCUUGACGGUACCCAAGAAGAAAGCCCCGGCUAACUACGUGCCAGCAGCCGCGGUAAGAGUACUCUAU